rnacentral:rRNA from 1 species
UACGGGGGGGGGCAAGCGUUGUUCGGAAUUACUGGGCGUAAAGGCUCGUAGGCGGCCAACUAAGUCCGACGUGAAAUCCCCAGGCUUAACCUGGGAACUGCGUCGGAUACUGGAUGGCUUGAAUUCGGGAGAGGGAUGCAGAAUUCCAGGUGUAGCGGUGAAAUGCGUAGAUAUCUGGAGGAAUACCGGUGGCGAAGGCGGCAUCCUGGACCGACAUUGACGCUGAUGAGCGAAAGCCAGGGGAGCAAACGGG